GGGCCCGCACAAGCGGUGGAGCAUGUGGUUUAAUUCGAUGAUACGCGAGGAACCUUACCAGGGCUUAAAUGUAGUGGGACAGGUCUAGAGAUAGACCCUUCUUCGGACUCAUUACAAGGUGCUGCAUGGUUGUCGUCAGCUCGUGCCGUGAGGUGUCAGGUUAAGUCCUAUAACGAGCGCAACCCCUAUCGUUAGUUGCCAGCGGGUAAUGCCGGGAACUCUAGCGAAACUGCCGGUGCAAACCGUGAGGAAGGUGGGGAUGACGUCAAAUCAUCACGGCCCUUACGUCCUGGGCUACACACGUGCUACAAUGGUCGGUACAGAGAGCAGCCACUACGCGAGUAGGAGCGAAUCUUCAAAACCUAUCUCAGUUCGGAUCGGAGUCUGCAACUCGACUCCGUGAAGCUGGAAUC
rnacentral:rRNA from 1 species